rnacentral:rRNA from 1 species
AACGUAGGAGACAAACGUUAUCCGGAGUUACUGGGCGUAAAGGGCGUGUAGGCGGUCUGUUAAGUCUGGCGUGAAAGCUCUCGGCUAAACCGGGAGAGGUCGUUGGAUACUGGCAGACUAGGGGACGGUAGAGGCGUGUGGAAUUCCGGGUGUAGUGGUGAAAUGCGUAGAGAUCCGGAGGAACACCAGUGGCGAAGGCGACACGCUGGGCCGUACCUGACGCUAAAGCGCGACAGCAUGGGGAGCAAACGGG